AGGAAUUGUGCCAAGUGUAGGGCAUGUUGGGAGCCAGAUGUAGGGCUGAGUGCCCCACAGGGUCGUGAGGUGAGCCUUAUGCUGUGCUGAGGCGCAGGAUCCGAGAAAUAAAGAGACAGGACACAGAAGUACAAAGAAAAUACAGCGGGGCUCGAGGGCCACGCGACCUAUAAGCAGAGUCAGGCAAGGCUGGCGAGGCAUGGCUGGCGAGGCUCCGCAUGUCCAGAAGCAUGAGUAUUUAUUGUGUAUAGGUUAGGGGGCAGGGCAGUGAGUGAAAUCAUCUUUAAGGAUAGUGAUAGGGUCAUGAGCAAUAAAACAUGGGGUCCACCCCCAUUAGGUCACCUAGGCCAGGAGGUGGACAGUGCACAGCAAGAGACCCGUUCCCACGAAGACAAGGGCCGUGUGCA